rnacentral:rRNA from 1 species
CUUUUACUGCGAAAAGGGCUUGGAGAGUUAAGCAAGUCCAUGUUCUAGAGGUGGCGUAAGGCUGCCCCUUUUAUAUACUUGCCUAUAGUUAUAAAUAUUAU